rnacentral:rRNA from 1 species
GAUGAACGCUGGCGGCGUGCCUAAUACAUGCAAGUCGAGCGAACGGACGAGAAGCUUGCUUCUCUGAUGUUAGCGGCGGACGGGUGAGUAACACGUGGAUAACCUACCUAUAAGACUGGGAUAACUUCGGGAAACCGGAGCUAAUACCGGAUAAUAUUUUGAACCGCAUGGUUCAAAAGUGAAAGACGGCCUUGCUGUCACUUAUAGAUGGAUCCGCGCUGCAUUAGCUAGUUGGUAAGGUAACGGCUUACCAAGGCAACGAUGCAUAGCCGACCGGAGAGAGUGAUCGGCCACAUGGGAACUGGGCCACGGUCCAGACUCCUACGGGAGGCAGCAGUAGGGAACCUUCCGCAAUGGGCGAAAGCCUGACGGAGCAACGCCGCGUGAGUGAUGAAGGUCUUCGGAUCGUAAAACUCUGUUAUUAGGGAAGAACAGAUGUGUAAGUAACUGUGCACAGCUUGACGGUACCUAAACAGAAAGCCACGGCUAACUACGUG